AGGGUGUAAACGCUGCAGACUUGGUGUUGGAAGCCCUUUGGGGGCAUUCAGUGCCGGAGAGAAGUUGUUAAGUCUGCUACUUGGGGAGUACGUCCGCAAGGAUGAAACUUAAAGGAAUUGGUGGGGGAGCACCGCAACGGGAGGAGCGUGCGGUUUAAUUGGAUUCAACACCGUAAACUCACCAGGGAAGACUGUUACAUGAAGGCCGAGAUGAAGACUCUGCUAGAUUUUCAGAGAGGAGGUGCAUGGCGUCAGUGACU
rnacentral:rRNA from 1 species